rnacentral:rRNA from 1 species
CGUGAAAUUGUUGAAAGGGAAGCGCUUGCAAUCAGACUUGCACUUGGUGUUCAUCAGGGUCUCGUACCCUGUGUACUUCAUCAAGUUCAGGCCAGAGUAGAUGGGUGUGCCAUGAUAAAGGCUUAGAGAAUGUGGCCCUCUUCGGGGGGUGUUAUAGCUCUAGGUGCAAUGUAGCCUACUUGGACUGAGGACCGCGCUUCGGCUAGGAUGCUGGCGUAAUGGUUGUAAGCGAC